CCUACGGGUGGCAGCAGUGGGGAAUAUUGGUCAAUGGCGGCAACUCUGAACCAGCAACGCCGCGUGAAUGAUGAAGGUCUUCGGCUUGUAAAGUUCUUUUUUUCGAGAAGCAGAAUCCGACGGUACAUUAUGAAUAAGCCUCGGUUAACUACGAGCCAGCAGCCGCGGUAAGACGGAGGCAGCAGUCGUUCGGCGGAAUGACUGGGGGUAAAGGGUUCGUAGGUGGGGUUAGAAGUUAGUAGCGAAAUUCCGGGGAUCAACAGCGGAACUACUUCUAAAACUGCUGGUCUGGAGUGCAGGAGAGGUAGUCGGAAUGCGUAGUGUAGCGGUGAAAUGCGUAGAUAUUACGAGGAACACCGAUUGCGAAGGCGGCUUGCUGGAGUGGAACUGACGCUGAGGCACGAAAGCGUGGGGAGCGAACAGGAUUAGAUACCCUAGUAGUC
rnacentral:rRNA from 1 species